rnacentral:rRNA from 1 species
GACGAACGCUGGCGGCGUGCCUAAUACAUGCAAGUAGAACGCUGAAGGAGGAGCUUGCUUCUCUGGAUGAGUUGCGAACGGGUGAGUAACGCGUAGGUAACCUGCCUGGUAGCGGGGGAUAACUAUUGGAAACGAUAGCUAAUACCGCAUAAGAGUAGAUGUUGCAUGACAUUUGCUUAAAAGGUGCAAUUGCAUCACUACCAGAUGGACCUGCGUUGUAUUAGCUAGUUGGUGGGGUAACGGCUCACCAAGGCGACGAUACAUAGCCGACCUGAGAGGGUGAUCGGCCACACUGGGACUGAGACACGGCCCAGACUCCUACGGGAGGCAGCAGUAGGGAAUCUUCGGCAAUGGACGGAAGUCUGACCGAGCAACGCCGCGUGAGUGAAGAAGGUUUUCGGAUCGUAAAGCUCGGUUGUAAGAGAAGAACGAGUGUGAGAGUGGAAAGUUCACACUGUGACGGUAUCUUACCAGAAAGGGGCGGCUAACUACGUG